rnacentral:rRNA from 1 species
AUGCGGUUUAAUUCGAAGCAACGCGAAGAACCUUACCAGGUCUUGACAUCCCGAUGCUAUUCUAGAGAUAGAAAGUUACUUCGGUACAUCGGUGACAGGUGGUGCAUGGUUGUCGUCAGCUCGUGUCGUGAGAUGUUGGGUUAAGUCCCGCAACGAGCGCAACCCCUAUUGUUAGUUGCCAUCAUUCAGUUGGGCACUCUAGCGAGACUGCCGGUAAUAAACCGGAGGAAGGUGGGGAUGACGUCAAUCAUCAUGCCCCUUAUGACCUGGGCUACACACGUGCUACAAUGGUUGGUACAACGAGUUGCGAGUCGGUGACGGCGAGCUAAUCUCUUAAAGCCAAUCUCAGUUCGGAUUGUAGGCUGCAACUCGCCUACAUGAAGUCGGAAUCGCUAGUAAUCGCGGAUCAGCACGCCGCGGUGAAUACGUUCCCGGGCCUU